UUGACAAGGGCUACGGUAUCUUAAACUGAUUCAAAUAAAUAGUGGUCUCUCUUAGACUACUUAAUUAGACUCUUGUAAGACUUCAAAAGGUGAUAUCAAAAAAUCGAAAAAUGAAGCUUAUGCUCGUUGUUCUUUCUGUCGUCUGCAUAUUUGUGCGGGAUUCGCAACAACAAUGUGCAGGGGAAAAUGAGGAAAUAUUGAGGACUCUCGAUAGAAUUUCCAAUCAAGUUCAAGAAAACCAGGGAAUGCUUAAUAUUCUUAUUGAUUACCUUCAAAC